rnacentral:rRNA from 1 species
GCAGUCGAGCGGACAGAUGGGAGCUUGCUCCCUGAUGUUAGCGGCGGACGGGUGAGUAACACGUGGGUAACCUGCCUGUAAGACUGGGAUAACUCCGGGAAACCGGGGCUAAUACCGGAUGGUUGUUUGAACCGCAUGGUUCAAACAUAAAAGGUGGCUUCGGCUACCACUUACAGAUGGACCCGCGGCGCAUUAGCUAGUUGGUGAGGUAACGGCUCACCAAGGCAACGAUGCGUAGCCGACCUGAGAGGGUGAUCGGCCACACUGGGACUGAGACACGGCCCAGACUCCUACGGGAGGCAGCAGUAGGGAAUCUUCCGCAAUGGACGAAAGUCUGACGGAGCAACGCCGCGUGAGUGAUGAAGGUUUUCGGAUCGUAAAGCUCUGUUGUUAGGGAAGAACAAGUACCGUUCGAAUAGGGCGGUACCUUGACGGUACCUAACCAGAAAGCCACGGCUAACUACGUGCCAGCAGCCGCGGUAAUACGUAGGUGGCAAGCGUUGUCCGGAAUUAUUGGGCGUAAAGGGCUCGCAGGCGGUUUCUUAAGUCUGAUGUGAAAGCCCCCGGCUCAACCGGGGAGGGUCAUUGGAAACUGGGGAACUUGAGUGCAGAAGAGGAGAGUGGAAUUCCACGUGUAGCGGUGAAAUGCGUAGAGAUGUGGAGGAACACCAGUGGCGAAGGCGACUCUCUGGUCUGUAACUGACGCUGAGGAGCGAAAGCGUGGGGAGCGAACAGGAUUAGAUACCCUGGUAGUCCACGCCGUANACGAUGAGUGCUAAGUGUUAGGGGGUUUCCGCCCCUUAGUGCUGCAGCUAACGCAUUAAGCACUCCGCCUGG